rnacentral:rRNA from 1 species
AGGACGAACGCUGGCGGCGUGCUUAACACAUGUAAGUCGAGCGGAAAGGCCCUUUCGGGGGUACUCGAGCGGCGAACGGGUGAGUAACACGUGAGUAACCUGCCCUGGACUUUGGGAUAACCCUCGGAAACGGGGGCUAAUACCGGAUAUGACCACUGGAUGCAUGUUUGGUGGUGGAAAGUUUUUCGGUCUGGGAUGGGCUCGCGGCCUAUCAGCUUGUUGGUGGGGUGAUGGCCUACCAAGGCGACGAC